rnacentral:rRNA from 1 species
UACGUAGGGGGCAAGCGUUGUCCGGAUUUAUUGGGCGUAAAGAGCGUGUAGGCGGCCAGGUAGGUCGGUUGUGAAUACUAGAGGCUCAACCUCUAGACGUCGACCGAAACCAUCUGGCUAGAGUCCGGAAGAGGAGAGUGGAAUUCCUGGUGUAGCGGUGAAAUGCGCAGAUAUCAAGAGGAACACCUGAGGUGAAGACGGGUUGCUGGGCCAACACUGACGCUGAGAAGCGAAAGCAUGGGGAGCGAACAGG